rnacentral:lncRNA from 1 species
GAAUCUCAGUGGUUGAAAAACAAGGACCUGUUUCUUACCCCUGCUUCAUGAACAUCUUGAGUCACAUGUGGACACUACUUACCUCAAGUUAGAGGGGAAGAAAAAAUGUUUGGUUGCUAUAUCAAGUUCACUAUUCAUUCUUCUGAAAUAUCUACUGUGAUAGCAGUCUCCUCCAGUGUGUUUUCAUAACAGGUUUAUUUACCUGCUUUAUUACAUGACUGGUAAUAUUUGAUUGGAUGUUCGACAUUGUGGAAUCUAUGUCAUUGACACCUGGGCAUUUUUGUACUUUGGUUUUGAGAGGAAAACCACACGAAUCUGGGUUUCCUUAUCACUAAUCUGGGUUUUUGAGAGGAAGACCACAGAGUUCCUAAGAAUAACUAGAAUGUGCUGGGAAUGUAACAACUUGCGACAGGGAGAGACCCGUACAACAGCCUGCCGUACAACAGCCUGAGCUCUGUUUCAGUCCCCCACAGGAAGCAGGAUAUCCUUCACUACUUCUACGAGGGCAGUCAUGUUACCCUGGGGUAUAAAAACUGGGGUGGGCGGCUUUCCAGGAUUCUUCAUCUGUGUUGCAAGUGGUAUAUGCACAGAUGACAUUCUGUCCACUCCAGGCAGCUAUCCUGAGGCUUGUGAAACCAGCUCCUAACCAUCCUAGAUUUCUGUUGUCCUUUGCUGCCUAUGUAUAAAUAAUAAACCACUUCAUG